rnacentral:rRNA from 1 species
UGAACGCUGGCGGUAUGCCUAACACAUGCAAGUCGUACGAGAGUUUUUAACUCUAGUGGCGGACGGGUGAGUAACACGUGAGAAUUUGCCUUUAGGAGGGGGAUAACAAUUGGAAACGAAUGCUAAUACCCCAUAUGCUUUCGAGUGAAAUGGAUUUAUAUUUAUCCGCCUAGAGAGAAGCUCGCGGCUGAUUAGCUUGUUGGUAAGGUAAGAGCUUACCAAGGCGACGAUCAGUAUCUGGUUUGAGAGGACGAUCAGACACACUGGAACUGAGACACGGUCCAGACUCCUACGGGAGGCAGCAGUGGGGAAUUUUCCGCAAUGGGCGAAAGCCUGACGGAGCAAUACCGCGUGAGGGAAGACUGCCUAUGGGUUGUAAACCUCUUUUUUCAGGGAGGAAUAAAAUGACGUGUACCUGAAGAAUAAGCAUCGGCUAACUCC